rnacentral:misc_RNA from 1 species
GAUGAAGAACGUAGCGAAAUGCGAUACUUGGUGUGAAUUGCAGAAUCCCGUGAACCAUCGAGUCUUUGAACGCAAGUUGCGCCUCAAGCCAUUAGGUUGAGGGCACGUCUGCCUGGGCGUCACAUAUCGUUGCCUGAUGCCAGUUUCCUCGUGAUGGGUGACUGUGCAGGGCGAAUGAUGGCUUCCCGUGAGCAUUGUUGCCUCAUGGUUGGUUGAAAAUUGAGUCCUUGGUAGGGAGCGCCGUGAUAGAUGGUGGUUGAGUGACGAACGAGACCCAAUCAUGUGAGACCCCUACCGAAUUUGGCCUUCAUGACCCACAUGCGUCUUUGGAACGCUCAUGACGAGACCUCAGGUCAGGCGGGGCUACCCGCUGAGUUUAAGCAUAUCAAUAAGCGGAUGA